UCAGGCUGCAGAGAAAACGCCUGCCAUCUUUUGAAGAGCAUCUCAGGGACUGGAUUUCCACAAGAGGCGGGCUGACUACUGUCAGGAAAGCGAAGGUAUAAACAGGCUUUCCAGAAAAGUGGGGCGUGGGCCAGGCUACAUUCUCAGAUUGGGGUGGCCGCUCCCAGGCUCAAGGUAGUUUUUGGACACUGAAAGUUUUUGGUUAGAGUGUGUAUGUUUGUGAGUGGCGUCUGCUAAUGCUGCUUCUUCACUCCUGUCCUCCUGCAGCUGGGCAGUGAAGAGAAAGUUCUAGAAAAUUGUCUGAGCCUGGGUGGCCACCGUGCCCCUGUGGUCACCGUGGACUGGAGCACCGCCAUGGACUGUGGGACGUGCCUCACAGCCUCCAUGGAUGGCAAGAUCAAGCUGACUACCCUCCUAGCCCAUAAGCUCUGAUGUCGGGCCCGGCUGACACGGCACGGGAAGCAGAACCGUCUCUGGCAGAAGAGAGAUGAGACGGGGGACAGGACAGGGCUCUGGUUCUGCACUGCCAGGGUGGUGGAUCUUCAGGAAAGCCCCCAAGGGGGCUCAGUCGUCCUGACGAAGCCCCUGGAGCAGGAGAUGUGGAGCAGGCUGCGUGUACUCCCUGGAGACUAGAACCGUGGCUAUAGCGGAGCAUGCUCCAGAGCACAGGACUGAUGCUAAGGAAGGAGCCACAGUGGCCGGCGCACCCUGUUCGGUCCAAGAGGCAUUGACUGUAUUUUGUACAUAAUUGCUUAUUUUUCUUAUUUAAGGGGAAAAAAAAAUCAGAGCAAGGUAAUGCUCUUACAGUCACUUGGUGUCUCUUUCUGGACUAUGUGAGUCGCCUGGCCCUGGUGAUAGCCACAGCUCCCUGCCUUGGUUAUUGGAUGUCAGCUCUCACUAGCCUCAGCUGCCAUGCCUUUCUGGCAGAAUCCGGUUAUAGUUGAGAUGUACACCACAGUGCCCUCUUCUGGUCUCAAGCCGAGAUCUGAGUGUCUUCUGCAGAACCUGAAAGCUGGGUAAGGUGCUGGCUAAGAGGCUUCUCAGGACAGCAGGCCUGAGAUCUGGGCCCACCUCCAGCUCCUGCACCUUGGGGUCUUGUGGUCCCAGAACUCUCAUUUGGUGGCUUCCUCCUCCUUCCAUCGUGAAGUCUCUUAGCUUGAAUAGUACCAGCUGCCUGCACCUCUGCCUGGCUCAGCUGCAUCGGCUGUGCCUGUGCUCUGGUCUCUCACUUGGAAGGAGAGAAAAGCAGGAGUGUUGAGGCCUGGGCUCCCUUCUGGGAUGGAAGGAAAAGUGGAAAGCGAUAUAUAGGAAAACCCUAUAUAUCAUAGUUACUAUUUAUUAUUGGUGUGCCUGUGUGUGUUGGGUGGGUGGGUGGGGGGUGGGGUGGGAUAUGCCACAACAAAGAUCACAAGACAACUUGGUGUAGACUUAAGUUCUUUCUGUUCAUCUUUAUGUGUAUUUGGGGGAUCAAACUCAGGUGGGCAGGCUGCAUGGCAAGUGGCUUUCCCCGCUGCGCCAUCUCCUGCUCACGUGUUUACCCACGUCCACACUGACAUGAAGGGGUCAGUCCGUUCUCUGCCGUGUCUCCACUCCGACUGACACACAGCCUCAUCGUCUGCCUCACCCAGCUUUGUGGGCCUGGGUUCCGCCUGAGUCAGGAGCCCGUGAUUUAAUUUCCUCUGGUUUUCCUGUCUUAUGGCGUGCUCUUUCUUCCAGCAUGUUCCCCACAACUUGCUGAACCAGUGGUUUUAAGGCUCAGAGACAGAAAGAACAUUCCAGAGCUUGUUCCUCCCCAACCCCUCCCAGGAAGAAUGCAUCCUUCAAAGCGCCUCUUUGGAACCCCUGAGGGCCUUAGUAGGGCUCUGUCCUUUGCUGUCCUUGAGUGAAGGUGUUGUGGGGCACAACCAAGAAGGCAGGUCACACUGCAAACCUUGAGUCACUCUUCUGGGGGCUGAGAACCUCGCCUGGCAGGUGCAAGUCUGCAUUUCCCUCCCUGUGCCCUGGGGCCCUGUCUCUGCUGAGCCCCAAACCCAUGCCCAGGAGCUCGGUGUGGGGUCUGGAAGUACAGUCACGAUUACAGUGCCUGCUGACUAAAUGAAGCUGACGGACACUUGUUACUAUAGCCAAUAAAUUUAUCUGCCAAUUUAAAAAUAAUAAAACCCAUGUGGACUCC
rnacentral:lncRNA from 1 species